rnacentral:rRNA from 1 species
AGAGUUUGAUCCCAGCUCAGAACGAACGGUGACGGCGUGCCUACUACAUGCAAGUCGAGCGGAUCGCAUGGGCAACUGUGCGAUUAGCGGCGAACGGGUGAGUAAUAUAUAGACAACCUGCCUUGAGGAGGGGGAUAACAACUCGAAAGGGUUGCUAAUACCGCAUGAGAUUACGCAUGCGCCUGUGUGUGUAAUGAAAGUGAGGGACCGCAAGGCCUCUCGCCUUAAGAGGGGUUUAUAGCCUAUUAGCUAGUUGGCGGGGUAACGGCCCACCAAGGCGAAGAUAGGUAGCCGGCCUGAGAGGGUGAACGGCCACAUGGACACUGAGAAACGGGUCCAACUUCUACGGGAGGCAGCAGUAGGGAAUAUUGGGCAAUGGGCGCAAGCCUGACCCAGCGACGCCGUGUGAGGGAUGAAGGCCUUCGGGUUGUAAACCUCUAACACAGACCAAGAAGGUUUCUAACAUGAAUAAGGUUGGAGAUUAGACGAGUCUGAAAUGAAGUGAUGGCUAACUCUGUGCCAGCAGCAGCGGUAAUACAGAGAUCACGACCGUUGUUCGGAAUCACUGGGCUUAAAGAGCACGUAGGCGGAUAAUUAGGUUGGCUGUAAAAUGCUACGUUUUAAGCGUAGGAAGUCAGCCAAGACUGAUUACCUUGAGUGUGGUAGGGGAAAGUGGAAUUCCUGGUGGAGCGGUGAAAUGCGUUGAUAUCAGGAGGAAUGUCGGAGGCGAAGGCGACUUUCUAGGCCACAACUGACGCUGAGGUGCGAAAGCUAGGGGAGCAAACGGGAUUAGAUACCCCGGUAGUCCUAGCCGUAAACGAUGGGUACUAGGUAGGGGGCGCAAGCUCUCUGCCGGAGCAAAAGUGUUAAGUACCCCGCCUGGGGAGUAUAGUCGCAAGGCUGAAACUCAAAGGAAUUGACGGGGGCUCGCACAAGCGGUGGAGCAUGUGGUUUAAUUCGAUUCAACGCGAAGAACCUUACCUGGGCUUGACAUGUAUGGAUUAGGGUACUGAAAGGUACUUGACGCCCCGCAAGGGGAGGAACAUACACAGGUGUUGCAUGGCUGUCGUCAGUUCGUGCCGUGAGGUGUUGGGUUAAGUCCCAUAACGAGCGAAACCUUUGUCCUUAGUUACCAUCGGGUAAAGCCGGGGACUCUAAGGAGACUGCAGGCGUUAAGCCUGAGGAAGGUGGAGACGACGUCAAGUCAUCAUGGCCUUUAUGCCCAGGGCUACACACGUGCUACAAUGGGUGUUACAAUGGGAAGCCAAGCCGUAAGGCGGAGCAAACCCCAAAAAAGCACCCCCAGUUCAGAUUGAGGGCUGCAAUUCGUCCUCAUGAAGCCGGAAUCGCUAGUAAUCGUGGGUCAGCUACACCACGGUGAAUAUGUUCCCGAGCCUUGUACACACCGCCCGUCAAGCCACCGAAGCAGGAGCAGCCUGAAGUCACUGACCCAACCAGCAAUGGAGGGAGGUGCCCAAGGAGGCUUUUGUGACGGGGACUAAGUCGUAACAAGGUA